UGUCAGAGAGGGUUUCGAUCACGACAAGUUUGUUUUGUAUCAAUCAUCGUUCGAUUCCAACUCUCAAAAUAUGCCUAACACUCGGAUUAAGUCAAGAUGUUUUGACGAUCUCAAUGAUCACGAAAGACUUCAGGAUAGAUUGGAGUGGGAAGGUUACACAGAGAUCAAGAUAAAAAGUGAUGGAAAUUGCCAGUUCCGUGCUUUAGCUGAUCAACUCUACAAAACCUCGGAUUGUCAUAAACGUGUUAGACAAGAAAUCAUACAACAGCUAAAAUAUCAUCCAAAAUUGUACAAAUGAUUUGUUGAUAAGAUGGAAUUCUCCGAGUAUGUAAAGAACAUGUCGAAUAACUAAGUGUGGGGUGAUGAAGUCACAUUGAAAGCAGCUGCAGAUGUUUAUGGAGUUAAAAUAGUACUCAUUACAUCGUUCAAAGAUAUCACUUCCACUGAGCUUCUUCCCAAGUCUCGAAAACAACCCGAUAGAGUCAUUUACUUGAGCUAUCUAGCAGGGAUAAAUUACAACUCCAUCCACAAAAACGAAGGUUUAUAUACAAAGGAGGAGACGGAGAAGGAGAAUGGGAACGAGAAGAAGAAAAAGAAGAAGAACGAUUUGUUUUCAUGAUCAGGACGAUUUGUUCAAAAUGUUUCUUCAUAAGGUUUUUGGCCUUGUGGUUUAUUGCUGAGAAGACAAAUUAUUUGGUCUUGAUGAUCAAUGCUUUGUAGUUUGUUCUGUGUCUUGCAUAUAAUUUUGUUACAUAGGUAGAAAGUAGUUUAGACUAUAGAGUUCUAUGUAAAGUUUGAGAUAAAGGAAGAUGAUGGAACACAAUUAACU